CCACUAUUCCCUAAAAACUGAUAGAAGAAAUUCACAGGUUCCUUCAGCUCCUUGCCACGUUGUUCACAAGUUUGAUCGUGGUGGAGGGAUCAGAUCUGCAAAAGGUUCAUGGGGGCUGUGUGGCCACAGGACACCCAGGGUUUGCUGGGAAAGCUGAAAUGGCUCAGCAGCUCUGCCCUUGAGCUUGGCAGCCUGCAACAAUCACCUGCUCAAGACCAUGAGGUGCUGAGGGCAGGCAAGGGCCCCAGAAGUUGCCUGUAGGAAGUUCAUGACCUUCAAGCAGAGACAACCUUUUAUUAAAUGUGUUUAAUGUUGUUGGAUGAAGGGG